rnacentral:misc_RNA from 1 species
GACAGGCGGCCGAUGGUUUCUGACGGACGCGGAUGUUGCACCAUGUUUACAUCUGACUAUGUACCAGGCAAUCUUGAACGUUCGAUGCUGCAAUACACGUGUAACUCACUGGACUUGCCCUGCAUACAUUGCAUACUACUUUAAGUGCAGGGCGAGAACUAGACACAGCCAUUUACCCAUACGCUUGCAGAACACACACACACUGUAACAGUUCCUGUUUAUCAGGGUUGCUUAGACUGUUUGGGAAUAUUUUGUACACUGUGGACCUCCAGAGGCCUAUUGAUAUCGAAAUGAUGGGACCGAGUUCCAGCCGUGACAGCGCAUAACGCUCCAACUCAACGUUUACCGAGUUGAAGAUUCCCAGUCAACACAAGAGUCAAGACUAGAGCAAGAUUCCACUUUAAAUAGCCAGCCAGAGCGUUAAUCACCUAGUCGGCAGUUAAUGAUCACUCCCUAAGGUGCCCGCCAGGACAAGACAGGAAGAAAUCAAAAUGAUCUACUGUAACGACUGUGGUAUUCUCCUGUUCGAUGAUGUGAGGGGUAACCAGUAUUGCAAGGCAUGCAGAACUGCUCAAGAAGAAACAAAGAAGUUAUCAAGACAGUCGUCGUGUACCUGCAAUUACUGUGACAGAAACUAUGACUGGAAUGACAAGGAAUUCACCUGCAGUGUUAAAUUAAAAGCAUCAGAAAAAACAAAAAGUAGGCCAUUAAGGACUCCAAGAGAAGCCCUGGUAGAUGAAGACAUCAGGACAAAGUGGGAAAAAGAGCAGAUGCAGCUGAAACAACAGCUGCUGAUAGAGGAUAGUGAUGUCAUCAGAGCUAUCAAACGGGACAUGAAGAACAACCGUCUGAAAACGGGUGAUCUGUACAUUGCUGGUGUUGACAUCUCAUUCAUCAAGGGGGAUGACGUUAACGCAUGUUCAGCUUUCGUGGUCCUCAACUACCCAGAUUUAGAGGUUGUGUACGAGGACUACCAGAUGAUCAAGCUAACAGCACCUUAUAUCCCAGGGUUCCUUGCUUUCCGUGAGGUAGAAUUCCUUGUAGCACAGUACCGCCACCUGGAACAGACAAGACCGGAAUACCUGCCACAUGUCAUAUUUGUUGAUGGGAAUGGUGUUCUGCAUCCAAGAGGAUUUGGUUUGGCAAGUCAGCUGGGAGUGCUGCUGGACGUGGCUUGUGUAGGCGUCGCUAAGACCCUCAUACAUGUUGAUGGUUUGGAGAAUGACGACAACCACAAAGACAGGAAACAUCUGCUGAAAAAAGGAGGGGACACGUUCUUAUUGCAAGACAAGUCAGGACAUGUGUUGGGAAAGGCACUGAAGAGCACUGACAGUGCCACUAACCCUGUGUACAUCUCCGUGGGACACAAGAUCAGCAUUGACACAGCAGUGUGGCUUGUCAGCAAGUGCUCCAAGUACCGCAUUCCAGAACCAACAAGAAAGGCUGACUUGAAUUCAAGGGAGUAUCUCCGUGUACACCACCCACAAAGUGCAUAAACAUUACUGGAGUCUUCUUCAAUCUACCCACAUCUGCAAAGCUGGCUGUGAAUGUAGAGGUGGCUGUGAUACCAGCUGCCAUGGAGUCAGUGUGAAUGUAGAGGUGGCUGUGAUACCAGCUGCCAUGUGAUCAAUGUGAAUGUAGAGGUGGCUGUGAUACCAGCUGCCAUGGAGUCAGUGUGAAUGUAUCAGUGGCUGUGAUGCCAGCUGCCAUGGAGUCAGUGUGAAUGUAGAGGUGGCUGUGAUACCAGCUGCCAUGGAGUCAGUGUGAAUGUAGAGGUGGCUGUGAUACCAGCUGCCAUGGAGUCAGUGUGAAUGUAUCGGUGGCUGUGAUACCAGCUGCCAUGGAGUCAGUGUGAAUGUAUCGGUGGCUGUGAUACCAGCUGCCAUGUGAUCAAUGUGAAUGUAGAGGUGGCUGUGAUACCAGCUGCCAUGGAGUCAGUGUGAAUGUAUCAGUGGCUGUGAUGCCAGCUGCCAUGGAGUCAGUGUGAAUGUAUCGGUGGCUGUGAUACCAGCUGCCAUGGAGUCAGUGUGAAUGUAGAGGUGGCUGUGAUACCAGCUGCCAUGGAGUCAGUGUGAAUGUAGAGGUGGCUGUGAUACCAGCUGCCAUGGAGUCAGUGUGAAUGUAUCGGUGGCUGUGAUACCAGCUGCCAUGUGAUCAGUGCGAAUGUAGAGGUGGCUAUGAUACCAGCUGCCAUGGAGUAAGUGUGAAUGUAGAGGUGGCUGUGAUACCAGCUGCCAUGUGAUCAGUGUGAAUGUAUCGGUGGCUGUGAUACCAGCUGCCAUGUGAUCAGUGUGAAUGUAGAGGUGGCUGUGAUACCAGCUGCCAUGGAGUCAGUGUGAAUGUAUCGGUGGCUGUGAUACCAGCUGCCAUGGAGUCAGUGUGAAUGUAGAGGUGGCUAUGAUACCAGCUACCAUGUGAUCAGUGUGAAUGUAUCAGUGGCUGUGAUGCCAGCUGCCAUGGAGUCAGUGUGAAUGUAGAGGUGGCUGUGAUACCAGCUGCCAUGUGAUCAGUGCGAAUGUAGAGGUGGCUAUGAUACCAGCUACCAUGGAGUAAGUGUGAAUGUAGAGGUGGCUGUGAUACCAGCUGCCAUGUGAUCAGUGUGAAUGUAUCGGUGGCUGUGAUACCAGCUGCCAUGUGAUCAGUGUGAAUGUAUCGGUGGCUGUGAUACCAGCUGCCAUGGAGUCAGUGUGAAUGUAUCAGUGGCUGUGAUGCCAGCUGCCAUGUGAUCAGUGUGAAUGUAGAGGUGGCUGUGAUACCAGCUGCCAUGUGAUCAGUGUGAAUGUAUCGGUGGCUGUGAUACCAGCUGCCAUGGAGUCAGUGUGAAUGUAUCAGUGGCUCUGAUGCCAGCUGCCAUGUGAUCAGUGUGAAUGUAGAGGUGGCUGUGAUACCAGCUGCCAUGUGAUCAGUGUGAAUGUAUCGGUGGCUGUGAUACCAGCUGCCAUGGAGUCAGUGUGAAUGUAUAAGUGGCUGUGAUACCAGCUGCCAUGUGAUCAGUGUGAAUGUAGAGGUGGCUGUGAUACCAGCUGCCAUGUGAUCAGUGUGAAUGUAGACGUGGCUGUGAUACCAGC